rnacentral:lncRNA from 1 species
CUAUAAUCAGAUACUAUGAAUUUCGAAUAAAGACCGGACCGAGAUUCAAUCUACUAUAUGAAUUUCAGAGUAAUCUCAGGUCAUCUAAUUUUUAUCUCAAGUUUAUCCUAGGAUCCAUGAUGCAAUCAGAGAGAGAGAAAGAUCCUAGAGAGAAAAAAUCUAGAGAAAAAAUAGAGAGAGAAAUUAGAGAGAGAAAGGUAGAGAGAGG